rnacentral:rRNA from 1 species
ACGCUCGACACCUACGGGAGCAGCAGUGAGGGAUAUUGGUCAAUGGGGGAAACCCUGAACCAGCAACGCCGCGUGAGGGAUGACGGUCUUCGGAUUGUAAACCUCUGUCCUCUGUGAAGAUAAUGACGGUAGCAGAGGAGGAAGCUCCGGCUAACUACGUGCCAGUAGCCGCGGUAAUCUGAGCGGGCUGGCAAGGC